rfam:Triticum aestivum genome assembly, contig: Triticum_aestivum_CS42_TGACv1_scaffold_145930_2BS
UUUGUACUCCCUCUGUCCGGAAAUACUUGUCGUAGAAAUGAAUAAAAAUGGAUGUAUCUAGAACUAAAAUACAUCUAGAUACAUCUAUACCUUGGACAAGUAUUUCCGGACCGAGGGAGUACUAA